rnacentral:rRNA from 1 species
UACGUAGGUGGCAAGCGUUGUCCGGAUUUACUGGGUGUAAAGGGCGUGCAGCCGGGCUGACAAGUCAGAUGUGAAAUCCCGCGGCUCAACCGCGGAACUGCAUUUGAAACUGUCAGUCUUGAGUACCGGAGAGGUCAUCGGAAUUCCUUGUGUAGCGGUGAAAUGCGUAGAUAUCGAGAGGAACACUCGUGGCGAAGGCGGGUUCCUGGACAUUAACUGACGCUGAGGCACGAAGGCCAGGGGAGCGAAAGGG